rnacentral:misc_RNA from 1 species
AAAAAUAGCUUUGGCUAUUAUCCACCUUGUGUGCAAACAAUGGAAAGAGAAAAUGGAACUAAGAGUGCACUUUCUUCUAGAGGGUGUUGCCCCAACUUCUCUAUAUAUUUUUUUUAUAAAUACAUCAAAAUUUUAAAUAAAAAUAAUUUUUUUAAUAAAAAUAUUUAUA